GGACUACAGGGGUAUCUAAUCCCGUUCGCUCCCCUGGCUUUCGCGUCUCAGCGUCAGAAAACGUCCAGGACCUCGCUUUCGCCACGGGCGUUCCUUCCGAUCUCAACGCAUUUCACCGCUCCACCGGAAGUUCCAGGUCCCCCUACGUCCCUCCAGGUCGGUCGUAUCCGAGCCACUUCCCCGGUUGAGCCGGGGGAUUUCAGCGUCGGACGUGCCGGCCCGCCUACACGCGCUUUAAGCCCAGUGAUUCCGAAUAACGUUCGCACGGUUCGUCUUACCGCGGCGGCUGGCAC
rnacentral:rRNA from 3 species